UCGAAUUUCAAGACAUGAUAGUUAAUUAACGCGACCCUUCUGUUCCCCCAUCGAUAGAAAGAUACCCUUCAUGAUGCAUGAUGAAUGAUGCCAGACUUGUGGGUAUGUGGACCAUAAUAGGACUUCCCAACCAGGAAUUUCGCCCUGAUACAGGAUUGAAAUGGGUGGUACGUGGUGGUGAGGAUGCAAAGAGGGAGCAUAUAGUUAGAAGGAAGAAGAAAAUAAGAGGCAUUGAUUCUGUGUUUUCUAGGCAAGUUUAGGCAAUGGUUUUGUGUGUGUGAAAGGAGUGGAAUGUGUAGGCAUGGUGACAAAUAAGAAAUGCUAAAAGUAGCAGUGCUAGAGCUACACUAGACCUUGGACAAAUAGUUCCAGCACCUAAACUUGGACCACCUUGAAAAUCACACAUUUAAAAGCAACCUACUUUUUUUGUUGGUGAAAAUAAAACAAAAAGGUUCAUUCUCUUUUGGGGCAGGGCGAGGCGAGGUGAGGUGUGAGUGUGAGUGUGAGGAGCAAAGGAAUCAACUUCGUUGCUGAAGCCAUGCCCUCACAAGUCACAAACAAAAAGGAUACGACAGAAUCAAAUCAAAUUCAAAUUACUGCACGAGCUAAUUUUUCAAUUUUCAACUUCACACCUACACUCCACUAUAACCAUUUCAUUCAUUAAAUAUUACUAAUGCCUUUUUCA